GCGGAUGGCGCCGUUCUAGCUCAGUUGGUAGAGCGCGUGGCUUUUAACCUCGUGGUCGUGGGUUCGAGUCCCACAGAUGGCGC
rnacentral:tRNA from 1 species